rnacentral:tmRNA from 1 species
GGGGGUGAAAGGGCUCGACUUAAGCCUGAGGGCAGAAGUAGCAUGCUGCGGAUGCAAGGUGGGCCGCGUUAACAAUCCUUGCAAACUAUAAACGCAAACACACCAGUGUUUAGUCGGAUGCCAAUGGCAACAUUGGUACCGGCUGGCGUUUCAGUCCCGCUUUUUAAUUAAGCGGGCCUCUCUUUAGGUUGCCUGUGGCCUAAAAGAGAGCCGGAAGCAGGCUGGCCUUGGCACAUCCGCCUUUAUAGGCCAGGGCGAGAUUCAAAAAAGGCUGCGCCUCGGUGUAUCUUGUUUAUUGGAGCCAUCGGGGUUAAGCGUAAAAAAUAAACUAAGCAUGUAGCGACUUUUGUCUUAUGUCUUAAGGACGCCGGUUCAAUUCCGGCCACCUCCACCA